UUCUAGUUCUCACCACAUGAUUCUAAAAUCAAUGCGUCAAAAGUGUCCCUUCAUCAUCAUCUCUGGCCGUCAGAUCUUUACAAAUAGGGUAAAUGUAUAAAACAUCCUGAGCUGAUGUUACAGUGCAUCAGUCCAGGACACAUGAACAGUAAUUUUACUGUUCAUGUGGCCUCCACAUAAAUAGUAAAAAUACUGUUCAUGUGUCCUGGGCUGAUGCACUGUAGCAUCAGCCCAGGAUGAUGCCAAAUACUGCCCUUACAAAUAACGUUUUUUUUUUUUUUUUUGUUAGUAAAUAAGAGGGGUACUAAACGUAUACUCUCAAGUACUUACUAAAAAUAAUCAUUGAAAGUAUAUUCUUUGAAUAAAAUACUAGUAAAUAAUAAUAAAUAUCUUAUGUAUUAACAUUUAUUAGAGUGUAAUUUACUCUAUUUAUUAAAUUUAUUGUAAUAAUAAUUUGGUAGUGUGAGAUAAAGGGCAUUAAGCUACCCAAAGAUAAUGAAUCUUUUGCCCCCAGUCCCCACUCUAAUUCCGUCACUGUUUUCACCUUAUAUUCAAGGCAAUUCCUGGCUCAGCCAUAGGUGAAAGGUAGUUGAUUCAGUUAUGACAUAAUUAAGAAAUAUGAUAACAAUCCUAUUUGAAAGAAUUAAAGGAGUGGUGCUCUUUUCAAUUUUCUUUCAAAGCACGUUUUAUUUAAGAGCAUUAGCAAGAAUUUCUCUUAAACUCUAUUUUUUUUUUUUUUUAGUGUAAAAAAACUGUUACAAAAACUCAAGAAAAUUUCUGCAACAGUUUUCAUAAACUAUAGAAACAUUAAAGAAAUCAAAAGUUAUUCUCUUUAUCUAAAGAACUAAAAGUAGUCUCUUAUAAUUAUUUUAAUAUCAAAAAUUUUCUCUUUUAUCUCUCUUUCUUUUAACAUUUAAUUUAAAUAAUAUUUAAAUAGUAUACAGAAAUGAUAAAGAAAGUUGUUAUACAGAUUAUUUAAAUAAAAAAGCAAAAAAUAAUUUAGUUCUCUACACUAAAAAAAAUCUUACAAAAACUGCCGUUAGUGUUUUAAGAAUCCCAAACCCCAUAAACUCCUACAACUUUACAUUAAAGCUGUUUUAGUUCUAUAUUAUUACAUUGCUUCCAGGACUCUAACUUGAUAAUGGAAAUAUUUACGUACGGUUUUAUAGACAUACUAAGGAGUGUACAAGCGGGGUGGUUAUUAACUGUUUAUAACUGAAAAACCGGAAAUAACCGUAAUCGGAUAACCGGUUAGGCCAGUUGCGGUUAUUUAUUUUAGAAAACCGGUUAUUAAUCGGGUAACCAAAUAACCGGUUUAUAUAUAUAUAUAUAUAUAUAUAUAUAUAUAUAUAUAUAAGCGAGAUAGUUAUUAACCGCUUAUAAACGGAUAACCGAAAAUAACCAGAUAACCGGACAAACCGAGAAACCGAACAAGCGAAAAUA
rnacentral:precursor_RNA from 1 species